UGAUGGCAAUGAUGAUGUUUGCAUUUGUUGUUCACCUGACGUUCUGUGAAGGUGUUCAGUCACUACCUCAUCUGAUGCCAUGU